UGUUUGUACGUGAAGAAAAUUCAUGUACAUCCACAAUAUGAUCCUGAACUCAUAUACAAUGAUAUUGGAUUACUUGAACUGGAGAAAAGUGUAAAGUUCUCAGUUAACAUCUAUCCUACUUGCUUAUACACCAAUAUUGAGGAUCCACCUGCAAAUUCCCAACUGUAUAUAACAGGUUGGGCAUCUACGAAAAUCUUUGAUCGUUCGGAUGUAUUACUGAAAGCUGCACAGAGAAUUGUGCCACUAAAUGUUUGUAAUAGGACAUUACUAAGAGUGGAUGCAGAAAGGAGUGUACAACAAACCCAGCUAUGUUCCGACGCUUUAAAAUCAGAGAAAAGUCCUUGUUAUGGCGAUGCAGGUGGACCUUUAAGUAUAGUAGUAGAUCCUACUUGGAGAAUAUAUCGCGUAAUAGGUGUAAUAUCAUCGGGUGUAAGCUGUGGUCUUAUACCACCAGAUAUAAAUACUCGUGUAGGCGCAUAUUUAGACUUCAUAGAGAAUAUUGUUUGGCCAAAUUUAAAAUAAAUUCAAAUUGACUUCA